rnacentral:misc_RNA from 1 species
GAUGAAGAACGCAGCGAAAUGCGAUAAGUAGUGUGAAUUGCAGAAUUCAGUGAAUCAUCGAAUCUUUGAACGCACAUUGCGCCCUUUGGUAUUCCAAAGGGCAUCCCUGUUCGAGCGUCAUUUGUACCCUCAAGCUUUGCUUGGUGUUGGGCGUCUUGUCUCUAGCUUUGCUGGAGACUCGCCUUAAAGUAAUUGGCAGCCGGCCUACUGGUUUCGGAGCGCAGCACAAGUCGCACUCUCUAUCAGCAAAGGUCUAGCAUCCAUUAAGCCUUUUUUUCAACUUUUGACCUCGGAUCAGGUAGGGAUACCCGCUGAACUUAAGCAUAUCAAUAAGCGGAGGA